rnacentral:lncRNA from 1 species
GUGAGAUGAUGAGGACAUGUGUGGAUAAACAAGAGAUCAUGACACUUACCUGCUCUUCAGCUGGAGUGCUCCUCCAUUAUACAGGAGCGGCUCUGUCAAAUCCCCCUUCACAAAUAAAAGCAAAUGUAUUUAAUAGUUAAGAGGGCGGCUGUAUCAGCUAAAGGGAAACAUGAAGCAAUUACACGGGAUCAAGAGUAACGUGGUGCGAACGCUGACUCUGAGCGUGUGUGUCAGUUUGCGUGGGUCUGCUCCACCACCAGGAGAGCUCGGCGGCAGCAGCAGAGUGAGAAUAUCAAAGAGAACGGCACUCAUCAUGCUACCAUCUGGACCAUUAGCAUAAUUAUGGAGAAAUUCAGGCCUUCGCAGGAGUCAGCAGAGCUCCACACACACAGCAUGAAAGGAAGAGGAGGCUCCUCUCGACGUCACAGCGCCCUCUGUGCCCCUCACUCCAGUACUGCAGGUGGAGAAGAAGAAGUCCUCAGGUGCCCCUUUACUCUCUGCACAAUUUAAUUUGCAGAAUAGAAUUAAGGCCUGACUUGAUUUCCAACAACAGUCUAACGGGUUUGUGUGUCUGAACGGAGAGGAUCUGUUUCCCUCUCCUCCACUGUCACCGGUUCAUUCCUGUUUUGCAGUUAUCCUGAUUGCCAAUUAGGAGUCACACUUUAACAAACUUUCCCUUAAGCAAGUCAGGCUGAGUUUAGUGUGUGUGUGUGUGUGUGUGUGUAAUUAGAAUAGACGGUGCGAUGGGGAUGUUGAAUCGUGUCAUUACGCUGUAAAAGGACUCAUUGUGACUAAAACAAAAUUAGCGUUAGAGAAACUCUCUUCUUUUUUUUCCCACUCAUGAUCAAACCGUGUCGUUUCUGAAGCAGACCACAAAUUAGAUUAGUUUAUACACACACCCACUCACUUGUAACCCAGGGAGGCUUUACAUGAGCUGGUUGGUGUGUUGAUUCAGACGCCCGUUCAGGCUCUGGGUAAUGCAAAGGGGACUUUAUGCAGAGGAGAGAUAACCACUGCUAAAAGCCUUCUGUCAUUCUCUCUCUCUCUCUCUCUCUCUCUCUCCCCCUCACUCCCUCUCGCAGGCAGACUGCUGGAGAGAUAGCAUUGGCAGAGGCGAGGAAACCAUGGAAACGAGAAGCUGAUGCACUUUGAAUGGUAAGACCCUGAAAGAGAAGACAUUCAUUCAGCCGGGCUCGCCCUCGUCUCUACAGCGUUACUCUGAAUGCUACAAGUUGAUUUGAACACGGAUGGCUGCAGAGAGCCCACAAAGCUCUCACUUCAUCAGCUGAUUGUGUGGCGAUGACUGGAGCUAAGGAGGUCUUCACAUUUAGGCGAGUUGAAGUCGAGUGUCACAUGAACGUACACACUUCCUCCUUUAGCUCUUACUUAUGCAAACCUGCUCCUACUUCUCCACAGACACACCGCUGCAGCUCUCACAGCAGGCCUGGGCUCCAUAUUUUCCACUUGUGGCUUUGCUUCAGGGCUGCCUUUGAACACAGCAGCAUGUCUAAGUCAGCGCUGGCCUAUAUGUCUUCAGCGGGGCUGUCAAUGAGAGUCACGGGACCCUCAUAGGGAAUGAAUACACUCUUCAGAGACCACAAUUAGUCAAGUGAGACAGUCAUUAGGACCUCUCUGCACACUGUCACUUCCUGUUAGUGCUGACGGAUGUCUGCAACCCCCCGACAGCAUCAGCAGUCAGGCAGACGGACUUAUAGAACUGUGAUACGGUUUUAGUCUGAGCGUGAUCGCUAAUACGACGUAAAAGUGACAUCAGGAGAGUUAAAGUAAGUUAUUUCACAUCUACAGAGUCCUGUUAUAGCACCGAACUGUGAUAAUGAAACAGAAAAGUCACUGCUACACUCAUCAUAGUUACCUCAUAUACUGGAGCUUUAAAGGGAUAUUCCAGCGUAAAAUUAAUCAAGGGUCAAACCCACCGUAACCCCGAGUUAGACCCCCCCUCCAGAGAUGAAUGUUGCCGACCGCUUCCUUCUCUAGUUAUACCAACUUUAGUAACGACCGCAGGAUAGCAAUACAGAGAGCCACGCCCCCAACCAAAACGCCACUCUAUAGCCACAAAUAAUGCUCAGAACAGCACCUAACUUCAUCAACAGGACAUAUAGGGUCACAGACAUAGUACUAGACACCAAACAUCUUUUUAACUUUGACUCAUUUCUUUAACAAAGAGACUAAACACAACUCACCUACUCUCUUCCAGCAGCCGGACUACAGCGGGGUGCCGCAGCUCAAGG